ACUGAAUAGAUACCCUGGUAGUCCACGCCGUAAACGAUGAUGACUCGCUGUUGGCGAUAUACUGUUCAGCGGCUUAGUGAAAGCGUUAAGUCAUCCACCUGGGGAGUACGCUCGCAAGAGUGAAACUCAAAGGAAUUGACGGGGCCGGCACAAGCGGAGGAAACGAAUGUGGUUUAAUUUACGAUGAUACGCGAGGAACCGUUACCUGGGCGUUAAAUAGUGCUCUGACUGCUGAUGAAAGUUAGGCUUUUCGUCAAGAACAGAGUACAAGGUGCUGCAUGGUUGUCGUCAGCUCGUGCCGUGAGGUGU
rnacentral:rRNA from 1 species